rnacentral:lncRNA from 1 species
UUUAGUCUCAACAGAGGUCACCUACUUUGUUUGUGGAUUACUUUUCGUUCUGGUAGUGGAAGAGUGGGUUUGGGAUUAUGGUAUUUCAGUAACUAUUCUUCAUGUUGCCAUCACUUCAACUGUUAUGCUGGAAUUCCCCUUGACGUCACACUGGUGGGCUGCCUUAGGAUUCGGCUUAAUUUCAAUGAUAUGUGGAUGCCAGACUUUAGCAUACUGUUUGUUCAAAGAUAAUUUUAUCUAUCCAGAUCUGGAUGAUUUCUAACAGAACAGCCAAUUCUAUGUUAUUACAUAUAUGGUAUCCAAGCUAGAUUGUAUUUUUUCUUCAUACCUAUAUUCGAGGUUGAAUUUAUUCUAGAUACGUUUUAACUGUAAUAAGACUAGAUGCUUUUUAACUGUAAAAAGAAACAAGAGAAAUUAAUGGAGAGCAAACGAAUCCUAGUAAAGAAUUCAUGAGCAAAAUAUGCAAAGUCAUAAAUACAGUGUUUCCCAUAGUAUAUUCCAUAGAACCCUAGUUCCAAACAAUGUUAAUAAUGCCUUGUAAAGAAAAGUUACAUGUUUAAGUAUUUUAGUAAAAC